GCGCCUCCUGCUCUCUGGGCCGCGUUUCUCAGGGCAGGGCGGCCUAACCUAGCGUCCCCUCAGAAGUAGCGGGAGAUCCUCAGCUUGUGAGCUAACUCCCUCGUUGGGAAGGAGCCCUACAGCUGUCCCCACAGGAAUCAGAAGCCAGGCUGUAGGUAGCAGUGGUUCCGUGUGCCUGUGGAGUGGCUGAACCCCGGGAAGCCGUGUCACUGCCGAGGUGGCUGUGCUCUGGGCAGGUGCGGGCCUGUCCUGGUUGUUAGUCAAAGCAGCUUAUCGUAGUGCUCUAAGCCGGCGCAGUGGAGCUUGCUGGAUAGAGCUGCCUGGAUAUAAAUGUCUUCUUUUUGCCAGAGGCAAAUUAAUGUGCUUGCAGAGCGUGUGUAAUUCCUAACGAUUGCAAAGUAUGGUAUGAGCACUGUGGGAUAUGACUAUAGCUAAAGGGAACAGGCCAACACGGUCACAUCUGCCAGAAGUUUGCAUGUAAUUCACAUCAGAGCUCGGCUUACUCAGUGUUCCCAAGGUCUCAGAGAUACUGUAACAAUCCCUGGAGGCAUGCCACCAUUUCUCCCAUUGCCUUCUUGUUCUGUCUACGUGAAGAAAACGGAUCUAUUGCUCGUGUUAUACUUUGGAGAACUGGGGAAUUUCAGUGAUCUGAAGAGACCUCCCGACUUGAGGUGCAGCAGAAACUACCUGCCCACACAUGUUCAGCUUGUCUUCACACAGGCAUUGCCAAGAUGUGGGAACUGCCUUUACUGUAACUUAUGGGUUGCACUGAGAAUGUACCAAGCAAAUUUACUCAAAGAACGGGAGAGCAUGGAUGAUCUUGCAGAAUAAAGGUAGAGGUUCCCUACAGAAAAGGCACAGAAUGGAUGUCAGAUGUGGGUGAAUAAAUUUACCGAAAAAAAUAAAAACAGCUAACAGAAAAUUAGCGAUUAUCAUCAGCCUUUGUAAUGUAAGUCUUGGAUGGACCCAGUAUCUCUGUUAACACUUCAGUGCCUCUGUUUUUGCAUAUCCAAUUAUGAGUUUGUUUGUCACAACUCACAUUGUAUACUCACAUUGUAUUUCUCUGAUUGAAGACCCCUAAGUGACACCUUCAAAUUUUUCCAUGUCUAGACCUCAGUCUUUUUAUUCCCUCACCUUAUUUUCUCACUCCUCCUGCCAUCCUCAUUGCAGCAGUCCUCAUGUUCUGACAUAGAAACUUGGCCCUCAAUACAUUUUAGGAGCUCUGGAAUUGCUGAGUAUUUAUAAAAACAGAUUGCAUUUCUCUAGGAUUUCCAUCUGCAGAGUCCAAAGUUCAACACACCAUUCAUUCUCACAUCCUUUCUAAGAGAGAGCUGGUUGAACUGCCUAAGGCACAAAGAGGUGAAGAAACUGCCACAGUUCAGCAACAUCAGAUAUUCUUGCUGUAUCUCUGAUCUGUCAUCCCUCAUCUGUAAUCCAACCUACUGCUACAAUUUUAAUGACUUUUUUUUUCAGACAUCCUUCCACAUCCUGCUUCCCAAAUUGUCAAUUUUAGGAGUCGAAUACAAAGAUUUACUUGCUGCUUUUGAAAAUAUCAGAGAGCUAAAGAAGAGCUUAUUUUUUUUUUUGGCAGAAUGUUUUCUUCAGCUUGACUUUCACUGUUUUGCUCAAGUUUUUCAGGACUGGAAAACAGAUGCCACAAAGGGAUAAAACUACUCCACCAAAUAAAGCUUAAAGAGCAUCAGUAGCAGAGAUGCUUCAUCAAAAUGUGUAUGAAUCUGAAAUGUUUUCUAUUUGUUUUACCAAACUCCUGACAAUCAUGUAAAAGUAGAGUUUCCUCUUGUAAAAGUUUCAAUAUCUUCAGAAGACUACUUCAGGCAAGUCAAUGAAGAAUGAAGUUCAAAGAAUAAAUGAAAGAACUAACUUAUGAGGAGGGGGAAAAAGUAUAUCUGAUAGGAAGACACAACAGAAAAAAAAACAACAGCUAUAUCUUCCAGCAAGUAAAUGGAAUAAAUUGCAGUGUCAUCUUAGAAAUUCCUAUCUGAAUUUUCAUUUAUGGAACUUUGUGCAGAAAUGAGAAGGGGACUGUGCCCAGUAGGAGGAAUAAAAUUGUAUCCGAGGCUAAAGAUAGAACCUCACCCACUGUUGCUGAAGUCAGACUUGACUGGAUCACUUCCAUCUUGCAAAGAGAAAAGGGGAUGGGUACAACACCCUGUGCAGUUUUGAAUGCCUGAUAAACAUACAGUCCUCCCUCAUCACUCAGUAUUGUGUUUUCCCAUGCUGCUGUUUGCAUGAUACAAAACUAUUCAUGAAAGGAAACUAAAGCUGCUGCCUAAAGAAAUGAAAACAUUUGUGUUCAUCUAAUUUGUUGGGGUUUUUUUCUGCGCUCUUUUGCCAUACACAUAGAGAUAGACAGAAAAGAGCUUGUGAACCUUCCAUUCCCGUUCUCCCUCGAUGCAUGGAGCAGCUUUGCCAUCUUA